UUUAGCCUACGGGACGCAGCAGUUAGGAAUAUUCGUCAAUGGGGGGAACCCUGAACGAGCAAUGCCGCGUGAGUGAUGAAGGUCUUAAUGAUUGUAAAACUCUGUUGCAAAGGAAGAACAGCUAUCAUAGGAAAUGAUGAUAGUGUGACGGUACUUUGCCAGAAAGCCCCGGCUAACUACGUGCCAGCAGCCGCGGUAAUACGUAGGGGGCAAGCGUUAUCCGGAUUUAUUGGGCGUAAAGCGUUCGUAGGCGGUUUGUUAAGUCUAAGAUUCAAGCCCGAGGCUCAACCUCGGUUCGUUUUAGA
rnacentral:rRNA from 1 species